UACAGAGGGUGCGAGCGUUAAUCGGAUUUACUGGGCGUAAAGGGUGCGUAGGUGGUUGCGUAAGUGAGAUGUGAAAUCCCCGGGCUUAACCUGGGAACUGCGUCUUAUACUGCGUAGCUGGAGUACAUGAGAGGGUAGUGGAAUUUCCGGUGUAGCGGUGAAAUGCGUAGAUAUCGGAAGGAACACCAGUGGCGAAGGCGGCUACCUGGCAUGGAUACUGACACUGAGGCACGAGAGCCGUGGGGGAGCAAACAGG
rnacentral:rRNA from 1 species